rnacentral:rRNA from 1 species
UGGGGAAUUUUGGACAAUGGGGGCAACCCUGAUCCAGCCAUGCCGCGUGCGGGAAGAAGGCCUUCGGGUUGUAAACCGCUUUUAGCCGGGAAGAAAAGGCAAGGGUCAACACCUCUUGUUCUUGACGGUACCGGCGGAAUAAGCACCGGCUAACUACGUGCCAGCAGCCGCGGUAAUACGUAGGGUGCGAGCGUUGAUCGGAAUUACCGGGCGUAAAGCGUGCGCAGGCGGUUCGUCGAGUCUGAUGUGAAAGCCCCGGGCUCAACCUGGGAACGGCAUUGGAUACUGGCGGGCUGGAGUGUGGCAGAGGGGGGUGGAAUUCCGGCGUGUAGCAGUGAAAUGCGUAGAGAUGCGGAGGAACACCGAUGGCGAAGGCAGCCCCCUGGGCUGACACUGACGCUC